rnacentral:misc_RNA from 1 species
GAAAUGCGAUAAGUAAUGUGAAUUGCAGAAUUCAGUGAAUCAUCGAAUCUUUGAACGCACCUUGCGCUCCUUGGUAUUCCUUGGAGCAUGCCUGUUUGAGUAUCAUGAAAUCUUCAAAGUAAAUCUUUUGUUAACUCAAUUGGUUUCUACUUUGGUAUUGGAGGUCUUUGCAGCUUCACACCUGCUCCUCUUUGUUCAUUAGCUGGAUCUCAGUGUUAUGCUUGGUUCCACUCGGCGUGAUAAGUUAUCUAUCGCUGAGGACACUGUAAAAGGUGGCCAAGGUAAAUGCAGAUGAACCGCUUCUAAUAGUCCAUUCACUUGGACAAUACUUUUAUGAUCUGAUCUCAAAUCAGGUAUGACUACCCGCUGAACUUAAGC